rnacentral:rRNA from 1 species
UUGGAGGGCAAGUCUGGUGCCAGCAGCCGCGGUAAUUCCAGCUCCAAUAGCGUAUAUUAAAGUUGUUGCAGUUAAAAAGCUCGUAGUUGAAUUUCGGAAUCCAUCCGUCGGUCGGGCCUCACGGUCCGCACUGGUGUGAUGGAUUUCUACCUUCUGAAUAACCAGCAUGUCAUUAAUUUGGUGCGUUGGGGAAGCAGGACUGUUACCUUGAAAAAAUUAGAGUGCUUAAAGCAGGCUAGUGCCUGAAUACAUUAGCAUGGAAUAAUGAAAUAGGACGGCAUGGUUCUAUUUUGUUGGUUUCUAGGAUCACCGUAAUGAUUAAUAGGGAUAGUUGGGGGCAUUAGUACUCAAUUGUCAGAGGUGAAAUUCUUGGAUUUAUUGAAGACUAACUUCUGCGAAAGCAUUUGCCAAGGAUGUUUUCAUUAAUCAAGAACGAAAGUUAGGGGAUCGAAGACGAUCAGAUACCGUCGUAGUCUUAACCAUAAACUAUGCCGACUAGGGAUCGGACGAUGUUAAUUUUUUAAUGACUCGUUCGGCGCCUUACGGGAAAC